UACAUAGGUCCCAAGCGUUGUUCGGAUUCACUGGGCGUAAAGGGUGCGCAGGUGGGUUUGCAAGUUCGAUGUGAAAGCCCCGGGCUUAACCCGGGAAUGGCAUUGGAUACUGCAGAUCUGGAGGAUCGGAGGGGGGACUGGAAUUCUUGGUGUAGCAGUGAAAUGCGUAGAUAUCAAGAGGAACACCAGUGGCGAAGGCGAGUCCCUGGACGAUACCUGACACUGAGGCACGAAAGCUAGGGGAGCAAACAGG
rnacentral:rRNA from 1 species